UUUUGCUUAUUUAUUUAUGAUUUAUUUCAAAUUUUUUACAAAAUCGAAUCUAAAUCAAGUUCAUAUUUUUUAUUGAAAUUUGAUUUCUAGUAACUGAAACAUAAUGGCUAACAAUUUGACUCUUUGUUAGAGGCUCCUCUGUGAGGUUCUGAGGAUGCACAGUUAAGGACUGAGAAGUGUUUUAUUUCUAACAAACUACUCUUAAACCAGAACAAAACAAAAAGGAUAAGAAUGCCUCAGUACUGAGCAACUAUUUGGUCUCCUUGCAGAUCAUGUCUUGGAAAUAGCACUUAAAUCUGCUUAUUUUCCCACCUUUUACACUCAAUUAUCCUAUGCUAUUCUGGUGUGGGGCCAUGCGCCAAAUGCCACACAUUCAUUUGGAUUACAGAGGAAAGCUGUUUGGGUGGACUACUUUGAGAGAUAAGAGAAUAAGGAAGUUGUAUGCACAUUCUGAGCCUACAUUUGAUCAUCCAUUAAAAAGUAUGCUGGUGGUAGGAAGAAUUCCAAGAAGAAUUCUUGGCUCAGGUCCUAGUACUGGAAGAGCAACACCUGUUUCUACACCAGCAACUAUAUCAGAACCUCUUGCACAAGCUUUAAAAAAAUUGGAUCCUUUAUCACAAAUGGCUAUUCCUGAAGAAAUGGAUCCGUUAUCUAAAAUGGCUGCAGAGAUGGAUACAGUAGACAGUGCCAUAAAACAUAAAGAACAAAGCACCAAAUCAAACCCAAAAUCAGAAAGGCAAGAUAGCUGGUCACAUAGAAAAGCGGCUAUUUUACAAAAAUACACUACCUCAGAAAAGCUGAGUAUGGUGACUAGUUUUUUGCAAGAAGGCGAAAAAGUUGCCGUAAAGGCUCAGAGCACAGCAGUGGAUAAAGUACAACACAGGUUGGAACAGCUUGACAGUUUUGAGGAGGGGCCACAGAGAAAGCUGGAUCUUUCACAGACAGAAUAUAUUUUUAAAAUAGAUCAACUACAUAAAGAACUGAUUCUGGCCUGGAACAUAGAGCAGAGAGUUAAAGCCUUAAAAAUAGCGAUACAAUGUGCCAAAAUGUUAGCUGACACUGACGUUUUACCUUUUUAUCCUAGCAAGUUUGUUUUGAUCACAGACAUUUUAGAUUGUUUUGGAAAAUUGGUGUAUGACAGGUUACAUUCCAAGGCUAUGUAUUAUAAACCUGGUUCUCAAAACCCUAUACCUUUACCAGAAAACUUUACACCCAACAUGGUAUCUGAUCAAGCCAAAGAAACAUGCCUAAAUUGGUUCUUUAAAAUAGCUUCAAUCAGAGAACUUGUGCCUCGUCUUUAUAUUGAAAUGGCUUUGUUGAACUCCUACAGUUUUAUAUCUGCUAAUGAAUGUCCAGAGGCGUUGACAAGACUGACUGAAAUGAUAAAGGGCAUAGGUAAUCCAUUAGUUGCAGUUUAUGCUAGAUGUUAUUUAUGUAGGGUGGGACUAAAAAUAAAUGCUCAUAUGCAAGGAGAUGUGGGGUAUUUUAGAAGAAAUUUUGAAUGUUUUUUGGAAACGUAUCAACAUAUAUUUAGUAGAAGUGUUAAGGGCAACUUACAUGAGCAAAAAAUGUCAAUAUCUUCUUAUAUGACCUUGUACACGCCAGCUCUAGAUUUUAUCAUGGACACUGUUCUUGAAAAUUCACCAGACACUGUUCUAACCGAAUUACUAAGAAAGUGCCAACAAUAUAGCAACAGCUCCCUCAUAUUAAACACUAUAAUGUCAGGCUUCAAACCUACUUUUAUAGCAGAACGCACCUUGCAAUUCCUUUAUAUGAUCGCCCAAUGUACUGAUGAUGGAAUUCCGUUACAUUCUCUCUUAAGAACUUUGGGACUGUGCAUAUCAAUUUGCUCGCCGCCCGCUGAAGAUAGAAAACAAAUAUUAAAUGGAAUGUGGACCAAUGUGGCUCCAAUGAAAGAUCCUGCGGAAUAUAUCGGCUGUAUUGAGGCAUGGAUUCCUUAUAUUGUUCAACACUUCUCGACCAAAGAACUAAAUACGAUUCUAAGCGACAUUAUUGACCACAUGUCGCCUAAUCGUAUUUCCGAAAAAUAUACGUGUGAACUCAGGAAAAUUGUCCAGAAAAUUAUGCAGUAUUCCACUGAUUUUGAGUCAUUGCUAGCGAUGGAAUAUUUUUUGCCAUUUCUUGACCUAUUCCAUGAGGAGUCAAUAAAAGUAGAAAUCUGCAAACUAGUUUUAACAUCAAAUUUUUUGAUGGAUCAAAAAACAAAUGACCCUGUGAUAAUUAAUGCCCUAAUGUUUCUAGCUGGGGUGCUGCAUGAUUCUGUAAACGCUUUAAGCCCAGAAGAUGAAAUCAGGCAAAUCGGCGAAAUUUUAUGUAACGUCGCAAGAUGCGUGGACUAUGGUAGAAAUUUUGAACAGCAGCUGCAUUUCUAUGUUGACGCGAGAGGUAGUUUUGCUAAUUUAGAUGUUGUAUUAGCACAGUUGGUUCAGUCUGCGAACUUUUUAUCGGCUAAUACAAGGCAAAUAGUUAAGGGUCACCAUACGAAAAGAACGGCCGAUUUCGUGCGGGCAUGUUCGGCCUAUUGUUUUAUCACAAUACCGUCAAUAGAAUCUCCAAAAGUUAGGUUGAAACUUUACUUGCUUUCUGGACAGGUAGCGUUGUAUAACCACUGCCUUGGCCAAGCUGACGCAUGCUUUAAAGCCGUCCUCUCCAUCAUUCCAGAGCUGCCUUUAAAUAACGAAAACGAGUCUUUUUUACACUUAUUUAUUCAACAAUUUUUGUCAAUAUUAUUGGUAGUACCAGACAAUCCGGAGAGAGGCAUUUUAUCCCUGGUUCGAUCCUUGGUUAACGUUUUACGAAGCUUAGCAUGGAAUCAACAGAACUGCAUUUUAGGUUAUUUAUAUGUAAAUAUUGUAGACUUAUUGGCUAGUAUGACUCAGGAUGUGUUUCCCUAUCAUGUUGAUGGAGUGGAGUCAAACGACAGUCUAUGGGGCGCAGAUUCAAGAUUCAUUAAAGAAUUGGACAGUAUGAUUUCAGUUAUUAUAGGGGAACUUCUUGGCCUAUUAAAAGAGCUAGGAGCGUGUAGAAAACAGUCCCAAAUCGCUAUCGAGUUGUUUAUUAGAAUUUGUAUUAGAGCAGAUUUGAGUGCUCCCCAGACCUUUUCUUUGGCGCUGAAUCUAUGGAAUUUGGCGCUUAAAAAUGUAUAUGCUGAGACCAAAUACAUUAUAAGAGUGAAGAUUAAUAAAAGGAGUUAUACGACUUCUGUAUGAGAUUCCAUAAGAAAACCUCAUACAGGCAUUUUGCAGUUUUUGGAUAGACUUAGAAAUUGCACUAUGUAGGACACGAGAAUAUCUUAAAAAUCGAAGCCUGGAGUUAGAAAACAUACACUUACAGCAGUUGGUUGAGAAACUAAGCAUUCCAUCUAGAUAGGGAUUCAUUUACUAUUUAUAGUCUUUUUUUUACACGUUUUAUAUUAUGUAUUUAUAUUCAUUAACAUUCACUGUUAAUAUAUAGUCAAAAUUAUAAAUGAGGUGUUCUUAGACUAAAAGUAGAGAGUAAAAUAGUAUAUUAUUUUUAUUAUUAUUAUUAUUAUUAUUGAUAUACUUUAUAUAUACUUUUAUUUAUUUCACAUAUUAUAUGUUAAAAAGUAUCUGAAUAAAGUGACCAAUUUAUUGCGGCAUUUA
rnacentral:misc_RNA from 1 species